rnacentral:rRNA from 1 species
CGGGGCCUACGGGGCGCAGCAGUAGGGAAUAUUGCUCAAUGGGGGAAACCCUGAAGCAGCAACGCCGCGUGGAGGAUGAAGGUUUUCGGAUUGUAAACUCCUUUUGUUAGAGAAGAUAAUGACGGUAUCUAACGAAUAAGCACCGGCUAACUCCGUGCCAGCAGCCGCGGUAAUACGGAGGGUGCAAGCGUUACUCGGAAUCACUGGGCGUAAAGAGCGCGGAGGCGGGAUAGCAAGUCAGAUGUGAAAUCCUAUGGCUAAACCAUAGAACUGCAAUUGAAACUGUUAUUCUAGAGUAUGGGAGG